GGGGGCCGAAGUAUUGCCUCAGUAGCGGCGAGUGAAGCGGCAAGAGCUCAGAUUUGAAAUCGUGCUUUGCGGCACGAGUUGUAGAUUGCAGGUUGGAGUCUGUGUGGAAGGCGGUGUCCAAGUCCCUUGGAACAGGGCGCCCAGGAGGGUGAGAGCCCCGUGGGAUGCCGGCGGAAGCAGUGAGGCCCUUCUGACGAGUCGAGUUGUUUGGGAAU
rnacentral:rRNA from 1 species